rnacentral:lncRNA from 1 species
AUUGUUUUGAACUUCUAUUUGGGAGGAAUUCUUUUACGUUAACUCUGAAGAGGCAAAAUUUCAAAGAAUGAAAUGUUUAUGGUAUUCUGUGUUAGACCUGAGGAAACUCUGAAUAUCAUUCAACUGUGAUAUAGAAAAGAAUGAUUAUGGAACAAGAAAAUAAAGACUGCAUCAUCAGACUGCCAUUUCUUUAUUUUUAAUGUCAAACUUUGUGCUCCGAAGGAAAGAAAUUUGAAGCUUGCAGUAGAACUAGCUUCUCAAUAGUUCAGAAUAUGUUUGAUGAUAUUUCUUGUGAAAUAAAAAUGGAAGAAUUCUCUAGAAAAUGUAAACUCGUACAUGGAUAAAGUGAGAUUAUAGGGUUAUGAAACUUUAGUGUACAAUGGAUAGAAUUAAUACUCUUAGUUUAUGAUUAUACUUCAUAAAUAUACUUGAUUUCAGGAAAGAAGAACUAGAUCUGGCAGUAGAUCAGGAUCCACCUAUUGGGGAAAACCAGAAAAUAGGAGGAAGAAGUUAUUAAUGGUUCAUUCUUAGCCAGAAGAAUUCAGUAUGGAAUAUUAAGGUCAGCUAGAGAAAGAAUUAUGAUUUUGUUA